rnacentral:rRNA from 1 species
CUGCGGAAGGAUCAUUACCGAGUGUAGGGUUCCUAGCGAGCCCAACCUCCCACCCGUGUUUACUGUACCUUAGUUGCUUCGGCGGGCCCGCCAUUCGUGGCCGCCGGGGGCUUUCAGCCCCGGGCCCGCGCCCGCCGGAGACACCACGAACUCUGUCUGAUCUAGUGAAGUCUGAGUUGAUUGUAUCGCAAUCAGUUAAAACUUUCAACAAUGGAUCUCUUGGUUCCGGCAUCGAUGAAGAACGCAGCGAAAUGCGAUAACUAGUGUGAAUUGCAGAAUUCCGUGAAUCAUCGAGUCUUUGAACGCACAUUGCGCCCCCUGGUAUUCCGGGGGGCAUGCCUGUCCGAGCGUCAUUGCUGCCCAUCAAGCACGGCUUGUGUGUUGGGUCGUCGUCCCCUCUCCGGGGGGGACGGGCCCCAAAGGCAGCGGCGGCACCGCGUCCGAUCCUCGAGCGUAUGGGGCUUUGUCACCCGCUCUGUAGGCCCGGCCGGCGCUUGCCGAACGCAAAUCAAUCUUGCCCAGGUGACCUC